rnacentral:rRNA from 1 species
AGUGAACGCUGGCGGUAGGCCUAACACAUGCAAGUCGAACGGCAGCACAGUAAGAGCUUGCUCUUACGGGUGGCGAGUGGCGGACGGGUGAGGAAUACAUCGGAAUCUACUUUUUCGUGGGGGAUAACGUAGGGAAACUUACGCUAAUACCGCAUACGACCUACUGGUGAAAGCAGGGGAUCUUCGGACCUUGCGCGAUUGAAUGAGCCGAUGUCGGAUUAGCUAGUUGGCGGGGUAAAGGCCCACCAAGGCGACUAUCCGUAGCUGGUCUGAGAGGAUGAUCAGCCACACUGGAACUGAGACACGGUCCAGACUCCUACGGGAGGCAGCAGUGGGGAAUAUUGGACAAUGGGCGCAAGCCUGAUCCAGCCAUACCGCGUGGGUGAAGAAGGCCUUCGGGUUGUAAAGCCCUUUUGUUGGGAAAGAAAAGCAGCAGGUUAAUACCCCGCUGUUCUGACGGUACCCAAAGAAUAAGCACCGGCUAACUUCGUG